rnacentral:misc_RNA from 1 species
UCAUCACUCAUCAAAAUAUUUUUAGAAUUUUUAUCGGGGGUUUAUUUUCAAUUUAAUUUAUAAAAAUGCCAGUUCUUACUACUAAUUUAUUUGUUAUUAUCAACGUUAAAAUAGAUAAGGAUAAGUACUUUUGACUGACAAACAUUUAGGUUUUUAAAACGCUUACAUUAGUCCGGCGUAAAUAACCGAACACUCCCGUCUGAUUAUUGCAUUAAUAGAAAGUGAUUCGGACUCCCUUGUAUGAUUUUUUUUAUUAUCCGAUGAUUAAUACUCGAUUUGGGUACGAGAUAUUCAAAUUUGUUCUAUUUACGUCCGUUCGCGGUCGCAGUUUGCACGGUAAUUGUAUAAAUAACAAUAAGUAAACCCUGUGCCUGUAUGGAAUACAUUGGGAUGGUGACAACAAGAAUAUUAUUGUAAAUUGCUGUUCCCCUGUAUUGUUAUCUAUGAAUUAGUUAAUGAUCUCAUAUUUCGAGUAAAUAAAUAUCAAUUGUUAUUUUUGCCAAGUGGUACCGAGGAUAACAUGCUAGAGAAAUGAAGAAACAAUUUUUUCGGGUGAAGCAACUAGCUGAUCAGACUUUUUUAAAGGCUGAAAAAAGUGAAGUAUUAAACCAUGAAGAACUGCAGAUAGCAGACCAGCGUGUAGAAACUCUUAGGUCAGCAUUUGUUGCUGUAAACAAAAAAAUCUGUCCUAACGGGCCGUUAAGUGAUAAAGAGAAACGUUUGAAAAAAUGCUUAGAAUAUCAAAUAGGAACUACUUUUGUGGAAGAAGCAAGAGACGAAAGGGAUUGUAUUUUGCUUCAAAAUGUCCUUAGACUAUCAGGCCUCACAGAGCAGGAUUUAGCAAGGGACUAUGCAGACCAUGAAGCCAAAGUGGAAGAAAUGGUAUAUUCACCCAUUCAAAAAGUAAUUGAAAAUGAACUCCCUAGCAUUUCCAAGCAAAAGCACAGUUUGAAAAAAUAUUGUUUGGACAAGGAUUCAGCCAGUAAUAGAUACCAUUCAACUAAAAAAGAGACACUGAAAGAAGAUAUGGAGGAAGCAGAUACAAAAGUGGAGCAAAGCAGGGACGCCUUAGCGAUAGAAAUGUUCAACCUUUUAGCCAGGGAAAAUGAAUUUUCAUCUUAUAUUUUACAAUUGUUAAAAUUACAGAGGGGAUACCAUGAAAGUGCCUUGAAGAGCUUAGAGACUAUUAUCCCUAGGCUAGAAAAAACUAUUGGUGAUAGUAGCAUAAAAAAAGUUUACGGUGUACCUUUGGCGGAACAUUUAAGAGUAACGGGAAAAAAGCUUGCCUACCCUUUGGAAAUUUGCAUUACAACCCUCUCGGAGUUUGGCCUUAGUGAGGAAGGGCUGUUUAGGAUAGCCGGGGGCUUAUCAAAAGUUAAAAGACUUAAAGCGGCCAUAGAUAGUGGCUGUUUUUCUUCCCUUAUUCCCGAAUAUAGGGAUGUGCAUGUGCUAGCCAGCACUUUAAAGUCGUAUUUAAGGGAACUUCCUGAACCUUUACUGACUUACAGCUUGCAUAAGGACUGGAUGCAGUCUAUGCAAUAUCCGGAAAACCAAAGGGUCGAAGUUGUUAAGCAUUUAUUAAAUAAGUUACCACAAGAAAAUAGAGAUAAUUUAGCUUACCUUAUCCAGUUUCUAUCCCGUUUGGCUUACCAUACGGAAAACAAAAUGUCUUCCUCUAAUAUCGCCAUCGUGAUGGCGCCGAAUCUUCUUUGGAACCGUAACGAAGAAGUCAAUGUUAAUAUGGGCAAUUGUGUGACAAUAAAUAUGUUAGUUGAAUUGUUUAUUAAUGAAGUUGAUACUUUUUUUCCGGACGAUGUGAGCAAGUACGUUACUAUUACUUCGUUGAUUACAGACGAGGAGUUGCAUAAACCAACUGUUAAUAAUGGCCGAUCGCCGCUUAUAGAGUCCUCCCACCUCACCACCAGUACCGAAAGUCUACUGGACAGUCCGAAACCGAACACGCGAAAAAAAAAACCUGCGGCUCCGGUACCGCCAAACGCUCAAACCAACCAUCAACCGGAGGAACAACACCACGAACGGAUGACCAGCAGUUAUCCCUCGGGCAGUACCACCUUAACGCGUCCCCCGAAACCUAAAGAACAGCCCAAGGUCAAAACCACCGUGGGGGUAAACACCGAGGAAAACGACCUCAGUUUAUCGCGGAAAAAGAGUUUUUCCAAAGACGACCUGAAGUUAAUCGCUCAACUACCGGCCGCCCAACCCAGUAUCGUCGUUAACAAUUGUGUGGUGAGCGACGCGAGCGCCACCAAGGUGGUGACGCAGGCCCAAACUAAUAUGGCGAAGGCGCAACCUGUGAUACGACCCGUGGCUUUAACUACGGAGGACGAGAAGAGUUUUAAAACUACCGCGACGCAUCACGUUGGGGUCUCUGGCGAAGGGGUCAAUUCUAGUCAAAAACCGGUCGCCGCGCCCAGACAAUCCUUACUGAGCGACAGCACCAGCGAUCGCACGUCAAAAGUUUCAAGGACGUCCUCGUUGCGCAGCGCCAGUACCUGUAAUGACGUCACGCGAUCCCAGAACUCUCUGGAUUUCGGGGACGUACAGUUGCGCCGUCCCGAACCUCCGGAUUCCAGGCCGAAACCGGAAAUACCCGCGCGUCCCGCCACUUUAAUUCCUAACAAAAGGUCCUCAAUGGACAUAGAUCCGACCUUGCAUAAGACCCAGUGUAGUGUGUACAGUGUUGCCAACAAGCAGCAACCCAGUAUUGUCCACUUCCAAAAUAGAACUGAGAAAAUUCAAUUAGGUCACGACGUUAUGAUGGCCGAAAAAGAGAAGUUUUUGGGCCAUGCUCCGGCACCGCGAACGAGCCUGGAAAACAAAUUUAACGACAUCAAUUCGAACAAGGAUAAAUCAAGACCCUCUUCGACCGAAGAAGCGAAAAUAAAACCGUGCGUGCCGCCCAAAUCGCUCGCCCUCGGCAAAUCGAACGACGACCUCAACUCGACCAAAUCGCACGAUCAAUUGUUGUACGAGCCGACCGAUCAAGCGGUCUCGAAAUCAUCGGAAAAAUUGAACGAAAUAAACGACAAUAAGAAGAAAACUAGUCAUACGCACGCGAGGACCCGUUCCGACGGUAACAUCAUCGAAUUGGGGCAGAGGGGCGGCGAUUUUUUGGUUCAUACGCCGCCCUCGCCGCGAAGUUUGAACAAACCGACGGAGCCGCCCCCGCCGCCUCCCGUACAAGUCAAGAGACCGGAGCCCGAGAGUACAGACUUUUAAGAGAGGUCGCCGUUAAUUUGUGAUCCCCCCCCCUCGUCUAGUGAGAAAAAGAAACCUCUUUUUUUUUGGUAUUUAUAUGUUGUUUUUUGACUGAACAAAUUACCGUUUGAGUUGUGUUUAGGUUGUAAUUUGAUUUAGGUUAUGUCGGUUGACAAUCAGGUUUGUAUAUUAUUAUGCCGCUAUGUAAAUGAGUCGGGUGAUUUUUUUUUAUUACAUGGUGAGUGUAGAGGGAAUAUGCUGGUAAAAUUAGGUCUAAUAUUUCUAAACCAGUUUUAGUUUUAUUAGGAAACGUGUAAUUUAUUUGAUAAAUUUCGAUGAAACAGCUAGAGCACUUAUGCAUCCAAAAAGGUAAUAGAAAAUUCUUGCAGCAAUUAAUCGGUCGUUUCAGAAACAACAUAAAUCACGAAUUAUAGUUUCGAGUUAACUGUUUUUACAGCGCUGUAGAAUAGAAUUAUGUCUGUGCAGGAUUGAAUAAAAUCCUGCACAUUAUGUAUUAGGUACACAUUUUUUGCAAUUUUUUUCUUAACCCUUUUGAGCCUAAUGGAAAUGGGUCAUAUACAAUACUCCACAAAAAUUUCGUCGAAACGGUUUUCAAAAAUGUCGAAGAAAAUUAAUAAAAUCUAAAAUAAUCUUCAAUGCAAUGAUAGCAUGAGAAAAAAACUUAUUUGUCAAGUUGGAAAAUUACUUAACAUCUUAUAUAACAAUAAAAAACUUUAGAUUAUUAUAAACAAAAACAAAUUAAAUUUUAGUAUUUAGUAGCAAAACCUUUUACUUUUAAUACAGCUAUACAUCUCUUUUAUAUAGAGUUUAUUGAUUUGGCACAUUUUUCCACAAAAGUUUUUCCAUUCCAAUUUAUUUUAUAUUUUUAUAUUUCUAUCUACACUAUCGGACAAAAGUAGAGCAACAAAGUUCAAUUUUAUUCAUGUUUGAAUAAAAAAAAUUAUUGGGUUGAGAUUUCUAAGCUUAAUAUCGCUAAGCUUAAUAUCACACUAUCCUUACAUUGAAAGUAAUAUUUCAUUACAUUUUGGUGUACUUUUAAUCGUUUUAAGAACAGUAAAUAUUAAUGAUUAUAAAAAUUGAUAAGAAUGGGGGCGACAAAAGUAGAGCAACAAAUUGUAUUUAACAAUAUUUUAUUUUACUUUAGUUCAACAAAAAAUAUUUAACACAUUUAACAACAAAAACAAUUCAUAGUCAUACAUAAGUAAUUGAUAGAAUAUCCAUUAUUAUUAAUUACUUGCUGACAACGGCGCGGCAUUGAAGCAAUCAACUUCUGAAUGACAUUUUCGGGAAGACUUGUCCAAACUUCACUAAUUUUAUUUAUUAAGGAUUGUUUAUUUGGAAACAUUUGGGUACGAAUACGACGUUCCUCUUCUUCCCAGAGAUUCUCAAUGGGGUUAAGAUCUGGGGAUUGUGCUGGCCACUGUAAAACACGAACAUUAUUUUCCCGACACCACUGUUGAACAACUUGUGAAGAAUGUUUUGGAUCGUUCUCCUGUUGAAAAAUAAAACGCAAUGGCAUUUUCCAUUCUGCAUAAGGAAGCAUAUCCCUAUAAACAAAUCGGUCCAUCGUAUCAUUAAUAAAGUGCAUAGAGCCUACCCCAUUCCAUGAAAAACAACCCCAUAAAAAUACACUACCUUUACCAUGCUUAAUUGUAGGUGUUACGUAUUUAGGAUUAAACCUUGUAUUGAUUGAUCGCCUCACACGCCUCAUUCCAUCAGAAUUGAAUAUUUUGUAGCGCGUUUCAUCACUGAAUAGAACUUUUUUCCAGUCAUUGACGGUCCAGUUUAAAUGCCGGCGUGCAAAUGCCAACCUUGCUGCUCUAUUUCUUAUUGAAACUAACGGCUUUUUAGCUGGACGUCUACUAAAUAACUUUGCGUCUACUAACCUUUUUUGUACUGUUCGUAUACCAACCGUAAUUUCUGGAAUUUCGGCAAUAAUUCGAGGUGCGGAUUUCCAAGGAUCAUUUUGGGAAAUCCUUUUGAUGCGUCUGUCAGUCAUUACUGAUGUUUUCCUUGGCCUUCCCGAUUUUGGCAACUUCUUUAAAUGUCCCCUCUCAUUAUACGAUGAUAUUAUUUUGGACACAGUGUACCGGGGUAACUCAAACUGUCUUGAAAUAUCGGCUUGUUUGUUACCUUCCAUGAAUCCAUUCACAACUCUUUGCUUCAAGUCUUUUGAAAUUUGAAUUCCUCUCGGCGUGAUUAAUCUUACACAGAAAUGUUCAAAAAAACAUAAAAAUCACCUUACACAAUUAUUUUAUCCCUUUACUUUUGCUAAAACCCUUCUUUUGAACAAAUUAUUUGAAUGUUGCUUUACUUUACUUUACUAUAAAGGUUAUAAACUUAAACGUCAAAAUAAAAUCAUUUGUUUUGAUUGCGAAAAUUUUUGUUGACAUUGAUAAUCAUAGCUUACGUUCUAGUUUCAAAACUUAGUGGACUUGUAUACAUUAUCAUGCAUUUAUAAUUUUAAAAUCGGUAUUUGCAAAUAUUUCUGUGUUUAAGUGUUGCUCUACUUUUGUCCGAUAGUGUAUUUGAUCCCAGAGGUUUUCUAUUGGGUUAAGGUUAGGCGAGUGUGGCGCCCAUUCCAUAACAUUGUCUUGAAACCAAUUUUUUACCAACCGUGUAGUGUGUUUCGGGCCGUUGUCUUGCUCGAACUGUCAUAUUAGAGGCAUAUUUUCGUCGGGAUACGGCAACAUAUAACUUAAGAUAUCCAAAUAAACAUGUCGAUCCAUUUUCUGAUCUAUACAAACUUGGACUUGGCCUGGACUUGAAAAAAUAACACCAUAUUAUAAUUCCGCCUUCUCCAUGUUUUACUGUUGGCAACUGGUACUUUGGAUCAAACCUUUUUCUGGGUACCUUACAAAUUUAAUUCCGUCACUACCUAAAAGCAAAAAUUACUCUCGUCACUAAAUAAGACCGUAAUCGAUUUUUCAGUGCUCCAAGAAAAUUGCUCUCUAACAAAUUUGAUGCGUUUUUGUUAAUUGUUGUAGUAAUUAAAGGCUGCUUUAUAGACGACGUCCUAAUAAUCCAAGCCCUAGCAAUGUGCAUCUCGCGAUUUCAGUUGAAAUGCCAAUAGUUAACUGGUGAUCAUAAAUAGCUUCAGUAUGAAUUUAUUUGGCUGAUUUUCUCGGGUUAGCUGUGGAAAUUUUUGUUUUAGAGGGUGGUCCCAGAAGUACCCGACCCAAGAAAGAAAACACGAAAAUUUUGGAAAAAAAUGUAUUUAUUUUUCAACAUAAUCUCCUUUCAGCUCUAUACACUUUUCCCAGCGAUAUUUUAUAAUUCUAUACCCUUUUUAUAAUAAGAACUGUUUUGCGCCUCGAAAUAGCCAUUAACUGCAUCACUUCUUCAUCGUUGGAAAAUCUUUGACCACUGAGCCAGUUUUUUAAGUUUGGAAACAAAAUAAUUUAAGGGGGCCAAAUCUGGCGAAUAGGGUGCAUGAGGUAGCAAUUCAAACUUUAAUUCGUUAAUUUUGGCCAUUGCAAUAACGGAUUUGUGAGCUGGUGCAUUGUCUUGAUGAAACAACACUUUCUUCAUAACCAAAUGCGGCCGUUUUUGCUUGAUUUCUUCGCUCAAACGUUGCAAUAAGUUCGCAUAAUACUCGCCGUUGAUAGUUUUACCUUUUUCAAGAUAGUCAAUGAAAAUUAUCUCUCGCGCAUCCCAAAAAACCGACGCCAUGACCUUGCCUGCAGAUGAAAUAGUUUUCGCCUUCUUUGGAGCCGGUUCUCCCUUUUGAGUCCAUUGUUUUGAUUGUUCUUUUGUCUCAGGUGUGAAGUAAUGGACCCAUGUUUUAUCCAUGGUUAUGAAACGACGCAAAAAUUCUGCUUUGUUGCUAUUAAACUUCCUUAAACACUCAAUUGAAACAUCUUCACGACACUGUUUUUGCUCGAGUGUGAGCAAACGCGGCACCCAUCUUGCACACAGCUUUCUCAUGUCAACAUUUACCGCACUUUUUGAAAUGCCUACUAUGUCCGCUAGCUCGCGCACUUUCAGUCGACGAUCAUCCAGUACAAUUUGUGAAUUUUCUUUAAAAUUUCUGGAGUCGUCAGCUCAUUUGGUCGACCACUGCGAUGCUCGUCUUGUCUCGUACGGCCUCGUUUAAACUCCGCUACCCAAUAUUUUACUGUUGUUAACGAAGGAGCAGACUCACCCAGAUAGAAUCCAGUUCAGCUUUUAUAUUGGUUGCGCUGAGGCCUUUCAAAUAAAAGUAUUGUAUCACAUAACGAUGACCAAUUUUCUCCAUUUUCACAAAUUCACUGAAAACGUUCACUAUUGAUAGCUGCCAAGCAAAUUCUAAACAACGUGGCGUCUUCAAACUUGAAACAUAUGCUUUAUAGAUUGUAUACUUUCUAAUACACUGAUAUUUUCAAACUACUACCGACAUGUCUAGGUCAGGCCGGGUACUUCUGGGACCACCCUCGUAGUUAUUUUAAUCUUAAAAUCUAUUUAAAAAGAUUAUCAGAAAACAACUUUGUUACACCCUAACUGAUAAAUAAAUUAAACUACUUAUAAAUAAAGAAUUUGUUCAUGUAGGCAAAAUAUAAAUAUUUCGUUGAUAAAUGCUUCCAAACGUUUAUGUUCUGUAUAUCAAGCAAGAAAACCCAUAUGCCGUAAAUAAAAAUAAACAAAUAUUUAUGCUAUAAAAUACGAAAGAGUAAUGCCUGCCGACUUUAGAAAUAGAUAAAUGUUUAUAAGAAAUGUAUGUAAGUGUUUUGUGUUAAUUUUUGUUUUUUUUUUUUCAAACUUUUGUGGAGUACUGUCUCACUCCUUUCAAUCAAAGAUUCUGAUAAGCAAAAUCAAUAUUCUAUAGAAAUGAGUUUCAUAAGAAUGUAAGUAGUAACCUAAAAGUCCCUAGGUGUGAUAUAAUGAAAAACAUUAUUGGCAUAUGGAAGGUAUGGAACAAGCAUUGCAAAUAAUUUUUGUGUGUUUUUCAAUUUUACAUUCAGCACAUCUGACGACAUCUUUUUCUGGUAUCAAUUUGCGUCGGAAAGUGAGCACGCAGAUUCAACAUCAUGCGAAAAGACAUUGACGAACAAUAAUAUGAGGUUCUACGAACCACUUUACACAUAAGCAAUAAGGCUUUCUGAAAUAUUUACCAAAAAUGUAAAAGAUGGAAGCUUGGGGAGGUGGUGUACCUCUUUAUAAAUGAUUUAGGAAUUUACUGCGACUGUAAGAAGGAUUUUAUAAAAUACCUUUUUCCACCAAAGAUUUUCUGUUUAUAUCACAUCAGCCAGUCAACUGAUCUAACAAAUCUACUCCGCCUAUAUUGAGGUUAUAAAAGUUUAUACAUUCGGUGCAGCUGAGAUUUACUUUAACCCAUUUGACCCUGAAACUAUAUUUUUUCGAAUUUGUAUAUUUUUUUCUUAAAAACGGUCAAUGGGACCUUCUCCCAUAAGUCGAGAAAAAAUCAUGAUUUUUUUUUCAAUUUCCAGUUUUGGAAAAAACGGCGGUCCUUUUAAAAGGACGGUAGGAUACAGGGCUACUAUUAGAAAAAUAAGUAAAGACUUAAAAAUAUGUUUAUAUAUCUUACAAAAUGCUUAGCAAAAUACUUAAAAACUAAUUUGUAUGAUAGUCCACAAAACAGUUUUUUGGGUGAAGACCAACUUCACAUUUUUGGCACACAAAAUUUGCUUUUUUAUGGCAGACAGCACAUUUCCGCUGACUCUCGUGAUAUGUAACUAAAUGAUCUAGUCUGUCGUAACGUGAGAAUUGGAAUGCAGUUUUUGGCAAUUUCGAAGGUCCUCUCUUAGUUGUUUUCCUGUACGUUUCGAGCAGCUGUGUCCCUAGGUCCCUUCUAAACUGAAGUUGGUCAAGAGUAUCACCAUUAUUCCUAUAGAGUUGCCACGAGUUUUGUGAGGCCAUGUCUACACAGUGGGAAAAUAACGGAAAAUACCACUUUUUACCUCGUACUGAAACUCUAUAUUGGCUUAUGUUUUGGUCACUACGGUCUACACCUCUAAUAUUUUCGUUGUAUGCCUUGGUCAAUUGAGGCUGAUCUAUAUAAACAUGCUUUUUUUGAGCCUGUGAAAAUCGUUUGACCUUAUUUACUGGCAAAACUGAACACGCAUUGGUGGCUAAAGUAACAACGCUGUUGUCAUUCCAUUUGCAUAAUGCGAUUUCAUUAUCGGCAACACCCCAUUCAAAUGUACCUCGUGUCUUUUUCUUCAGAACUGCCGCAUUGCUAAAUGGAGAUUGUGGGAUUCGGUUUUCACGUAUAGUACCAGUUGCCUUGAUGUUCCUCAAUUUUAGCUCCUUUAGAAGUGACAAAGAUGUGAAAAAAUUGUCAAAAAAUAUGUGAAAGGGCUGGUAAGGCAUUUUCUGUAAAACAUCUGCAUAUUGGAGAACAACUGACGCUCCCAAACCCAGGUGUUUAUAUUUGUCCGGAAUUCUUGUCAACGCACCUUGGUAGGGAUCAAAAUAAACAAUGUAUCCAAGGCGUAGGGUACCUACCCAAAAUGUAUACCCCCAGCUUAUAACCUUGCCUCGAAUAAAUUGCUUACCGCUAUGUCUCCCAAAAUACGGUAUCAUGGCCUCAUCAAAGCUGUGAUUCUCUUUAACUGGGGCAUAAUCAAAAAAUUUAUUUAGGCUCUUGAAAAGAGGACGCAGUUUAGAGUACUUGUCUUUUUUAACAAGGGAAAUAUUAUCACUGCAAUGAAGAUUACUCAUUAUGAAUUGAAAUCUAUCUCUGGAAAUAGCGGCUAAUAUAAGUUUAUUCUGGGCAUCGUUGCAAUUUUGCCAAUACAUAUGUCGCCUUGGAACAGUUGUAUAUCCACUGACAAGUAACACCCCUAUGAAGCAGUACAUCUCGUCUGCAGUAACGUUACCGGGGCGGUUUUUUUGCUGUGCAUAAAUAUUGGUAAAAUUGACAAUUUCUCCUGUCAAGUUCUCAUCAAAGGACAGCUUGAAAAUAUUUCCAGGGGAACGAUUGCUUUGUGCGGUUUGAACUGAUUGCCAUUGCAUAAAUGUAGACUCUAAAUCUUUAUUGAGAGUAUAGUCAAACGUCUUUAUGUGUUUAGGUCGCCUUUCAACAAAAGUGGACAGUGGUAGAUCGUCAUCACUGUCCCAGUCGUCUUCACCUUCUACGUCAAAUUCAAUUUCCGCCGGGACCCUUAGUUGCAUUCCGGGUAAAUUAUUUGGUACUACAUCGUCUUCAGCCCCAGAAUCUUCAUCGGUAUCGCAGUUUUCGUUGGCAUUUUCGGGUGGAAAAAUUGUAAUGCCUGUAGGAAUGUCCGACGUAGAGUCAUUCUCCAAUUCCUCUAAGAUUUCUGCCAUGGUUAGUGUAGUAUAUAAUCCUACCGUCCUUUUAAAAGGACUCGUUUAAUUGAACGCUCCUGGAUUGAUCAAGAAGUGUGAAACAUAACCACAAAUAUAUAAAAAGGUCUGUAUGUUAUGUUAUUUGUUAAAAACAAUCAAAACAAGAACGAAAAAAUAAACGAGUUUUAACAUAUCUUACCUUGAGUCACUCACUCAUUGCAAAAUCACUAGAAACACAGCGUGUUUUAUUCGUCACUAUCGAUCCAAAAAUUAACAAAAUCCUAACGAUCGCGAUUGACCUUGUUUAAGAUGUUAACUAAAUAAAAUGUCUUUGCAAAUUCUAGCAUAUUUUUCCGAGUAGUAAUACAUGUCCUACAGCAGGAACUGAUAGGAUAAUCAUUAAAUGAACUGAUGUGAAAAAACCUGUCAAUAACAAAAGAUAUCUCCUUUUCCUUUACUGUGCUUACUUAUUUAUUUACUGCUCUUCCAACGUUCCUUCAUUGCAAAGUUCCUUCUUUCCGCAAUAAAUAUUGAAGUCAUACACAUAGCCUGUUUGAGCGUCACACUUUGCCCAAAUUUUUAUUCCUCUCUUUAUCGGUUUCAGAGGAACAUAUUAGAAAUGUACCCUUCACACUUCGACUUGGCAUAUCUUGCUAGCGUUGACUGUUUUUUUUGGAUUAAUAAAAUAUAAUUUGCUAAUUAAUAAUUUGAAACGAUCCCUGGCUACUGCAAGUUUUAUUUGCGCUCUUUUUUGAUGACCAGUGGUUGGAAAUUGAAGGAAGCUUAUUGUAAGCCAUAAUAUUAGUAUUUGGCGGGAAUCCGUUUAUUCUUGCUUUUUCCUAUACAACAUGAAAUGGUUUUCAUUGGUUGACUGAGCAAUAUAACUGAAAAGAUUUUUUGGAAAUAAUUUAUAGAGAACAUCCACUACAGAAGAACUUGGAUUCAAAUCAAGCUGUAAUACACAAGAGCUGAUUUCACGCAAUGUGUGGUAUAAAGGCUUCAGUUUUUUCCACCCAAACACAACCUUUGUUCCAGUUCGAGGAUCUGUGCAUCUUUAUCUAAUCACUCAUUAUUCCAGGCUUCACUUCUAAAUCGCUUGAGGAAUCGGUGUCAAACUUCCUUUGACGUACUUGGCUUUGAAAUGAUAGAGCGUUUUUUGUCUCAGUUCUGGAUUCUUUUCGAAUGGGAUACAGUUUUCCUACUGAAAAAGACGUUUGGGAUAAAUAUGCCCCAGUUGCCAUUUAUCCUAUUACUACAUGUGUAUAGUUUUCCAAAAUACCUAAAUAUUUACAAAAUUUACACAGCAAAAAAAUUAAUAAUAAUUUUAAUGACGAUGCACCUCUCGAAAGGGCUAAGGUAUUAUCUGGUGCACUUAUUUGCAAUAUUACAUCUCCUUCUUGAUAACCAAGUAAAAAAGUUAUCAAGUUCUUUAAGUAGUACAAGUUUGACUUAUUAAAGUUUGUUUGUAGGCCAUAUGUUUUUUUUUAUAUAAGAAUCUUAAUGUCAAAUUUUAUUAUCUUCUGGCUGAAUGAAAGUUGUUACAAUCAAAAUUAUUCCAAUCUGGGUGAUUUUGAUAUUAAAAAUAGCUUUUCUGAAAUGAAAAAAGCACCAAUGUUGGUAAAUCUUAGAUAUAUCUGCAUAUUUUCAUUAUAUUCGUGAUAUUGUUUAGGUAAUUGCUUGAAACCUCUAAAAAUAUUUAUUGUCUAUAUUCGCGGCCAUAUUCUCCAUAAACGUUUGCGUGAACGUGGUUUUAUAUAGUACCAUAUAAAACUUAUUUCUUUUUCAAUAUUGGCUAAUAAUAAUUUAAUUUAAUAUACUUAAUCCUGACUCAUUUACAUCCAGAAUAUUCAGAUAAGCACAACACUUACUCUUAAGAAAAUAAAUGAAAAGUUACGUUUGAAUUAUUGAUACCGCCAAAACUAAAGCGGCGAUAAGCAUUAAAAUGUUAAAUGCCUUGUUAAUGUAAAUUUAGGAAAUUUUGUUAAAAGCAUUUCUCAAGUUUUAGGCAUUUGACAAAGAAUUUACUAUUUUAUUUUUACAAUGUUAAGUAUCAAGGUGAUUUUUCCAGUGUGGGUAACUGGAUGUUAAACGUUUUGUAGUUACGUCUGACUGUUGUUGUUUGGUCAGAUUUUUAUGUAAUUGAACCCCUUAAAAGUGUCUCCUUUGCCUAGUGUGUUUUUGUCUGUCUAAAAUAUUUUUUAUGUUAUAAGGUCUAUUUGCUUUUCUGUGUCGAAAUUAAUUAAAAUGUUUCCUCUGCCAGUAAAACUGCAAUAAUAUUUAUACGCUCUAUUAUUAAAAUGAUUAUUUAAGUAAGAA